rnacentral:tRNA from 1 species
GGUGGCAUAGUUCAGUCGGUAGAACAACGGACUCAUAUUCCGUAUGUCGGUGGUUCGAUCCCACUUGCCACUA